rnacentral:rRNA from 1 species
UACGGGGGGAGCAAGCGUUGUUCGGAUUUACUGGGCGUAAAGGGCGCGUAGGCGGCCACUGCAAGUCAGUUGUGAAAUCUCCGGGCUUAACCCGGAAAGGUCAGCUGAUACUGCAGGGCUAGAGUGCAGAAGGGGCAACUGGAAUUCUCGGUGUAGCGGUGAAAUGCGUAGAUAUCGGGAGGAACACCUGUGGCGAAAGCGGCGCACUGGACCACAACUGACGCUGAGGUGCGAAAGCGUGGGGAGCAAACAGG